CCAGCAGGACUGAUGACUUGAAGGUUAGGUUGCUGACCUGAAGGCUGCUGGUUCGAAUCCAACCUGCUGAG
rnacentral:tRNA from 1 species